UACGUAGGGGGCAAGCGUUGUCCGGAAUCACUGGGCGUAAAGCGCGCGCAGGCGGCGAUCUACGUCCGGGGUGAAAGCCCAGGGCUCAACCCUGGAAUUGCCUUUAAGACUGCAUCGCUUGAACAUCGGAGAGGUAAGUGGAAUUCCGAGUGUAGAGGUGAAAUUCGUAGAUAUUCGGAAGAACACCAGUGGCGAAGGCGACUUACUGGACGAUUGUUGACGCUGAGGUGCGAAAGCGUGGGGAGCAAACAGG
rnacentral:rRNA from 1 species